rnacentral:rRNA from 1 species
AUUGAACGCUAGCGGGAUGCCUUACACAUGCAAGUCGAACGGAGUGGCGAACGGGUGAGUAAUGUAUCGGAACGUGCCCAGUAGCGGGGGAUAACUACGCGAAAGCGUAGGUAAUACCGCAUACUCUUGGAGCGGCCGAUAUCGGAUUAGCUCGUUGGUGGGGUAACGGCUCACCUAGGCGACGAUCCCUAGCUGGUCUGAGAGGAUGACCAGCCACACUGGAACUGAGACACGGUCCAGACUCCUACGGGAGGCAGCAGUGGGGAAUAUUGAACAAUGGGCGCAAGCCUGAUACAGCCAGGCCGCGUGUAUGAAGAAGUCCUUCGGGUUGGAAAGUACUUUCAGCGAGGAGGCGUUACUCGCAGAAGAAGCACCGGCUAACUCCGUGCCAGCAGCCGCGGUAAUAC